rnacentral:rRNA from 1 species
CCUACACGACCGUACCGCAAACCGACACUGGUGCGCGAGAUGAGUAUUCUAAGGCGCUUGAGAGAACUCUGGAGAAGGAACUCGGCAAAUUGACACCGUAACUUCGGAAGAAGGUGUGCCUUUAGUAGGUGAAGUCCCUCGCGGAUGGAGCCCAAUGAGGUUGCAAAAAAUCGGUGGCUGCGACUGUUUAAUAAAAACACAGCACUCUGCAAAGACGAAAGUCGACGUAUAGGGUGUGACGCCUGCCCGGUGCUGGAAGAUUAAAUGAUGGGGUGCAAGCUCUUGAUUGAAGUCCCAGUAAACGGCGGCCGUAACGAUAACGGUCCUAAGGUAGCGAAAUUCCUUGUCGGGUAAGUUCCGACCUGCACGAAUGGCGUAACGAUGGCCACACUGUCUCCUCCAGAGACUCAGCGAAGUUGAAAUGUUUGUGAUGAUGCAAUCUCCCCGCGGAAAGACGGAAAGACCCCAUGAACCUUUACUGUAGCUUUGUAUUGGACUUUGAACAGAUCUGUGUAGGAUAGGUGGGAGGCUUUGAAGCAGGGUCGCUAGAUCUUGUGGAGCCAACGUUGAAAUACCACCCUGGUGUGUUUGAGGUUCUAACCUAGGUCCAUUAGCUGGAUCGGGGACAGUGCAUGGUAGGCAGUUUGACUGGGGCGGUCUCCUCCCAAAGCGUAACGGAGGAGUUCGAAGUACGCUAGGUACGGUCGGACAUCGUGCUAAUAGUGCAAUGGCAUAAGCGUGCUUAACUGCGAGACUGACAAGUCGAGCAGAUGCGAAAGCAGGACAUAGUGAUCCGGUGGCUCUGUAUGGAAGGGCCAUCGCUCAACGGAUAAAAGGUACUCUGGGGAUAACAGGCUGAUACCGCCCAAGAGUUCUUAUCGACGGCGGUGUUUGGCACCUCGAUGUCGGCUCAUCUCAUCCUGGGGCUGUAGCCGGUCCCAAGGGUAUGGCUGUUCCCAUUUAAAGAGGUACGUGAGCUGGGUUUAAAACGUCGUGAGACAGUUUGGUCCCUAUCUUCCGUGGGCGCUGCAGAUUUGAGGAAGCCUGCUCCUAGUACGAGAGGACCGGAGUGGACACACCUCUGGUGUAUCGGUUGUCACGCCAGUGGCGUUGCCGAGUAGCUAAGUGUGGAAGAGAUAACCGCUGAAAGCAUCUAAGCGGGAAACUCGUUUCAAGAUGAGAUCUGCCGGGGCCUUGAGCCCCCUAAAGAGUCGUUCAAGACCAGGACGUUGAUAGGUCAGGUGUGGAAGCGCAGUAAUGCGUUAAGCUAACUGAUACUAAUUGCUCGUGCGACUUGACCCU